UCCAGAAAUGAUGAUGCUGUUAAAGCACUAUCUUCAAUAGCACCAUCUGAAACACCAGCAGGGACAGGACCUAGAAACAAAAUGGAGUGUAAUCAGUAGAGGUGAUUAUCUAAAUUAUGGAAACCUAUGAAAUAACAUUCUCAAAUGAAAUGGAAGUGACCAGAAUACAUCUGUCAAAUGAGGUGAUAAUAUUUGUAAUAGCAGAAAACCUGAAGAAGAAUAAUUAUGCAGUUCUCUGUACACUUGUUUACUGUAAACAAGAGGUGAAAGUUGAUUCUCAGCAAUGUUAUCAAGAUAUGCAGACUAAACAUAUCCCUCCACAUGUCCAUCUAGGGAUCAAUAAGCGAAAUAUGACAAAGAGGUCCAUUUUCUUGUCCAAUUUUUUUAAAACACCAUCCCAUUACCACCACAUGCUACACUAAUGGCCCAAAACCAUCUCUUUCAUGGUACUUUACAAAAAAGACUUUAAAUUACACUAAAUAGGUCAGUCUUCAGAACUGGGAAUAUUGGUUAUCAAAAUAGCACGUCAUUCAGCUGAGUAUAAGGAACUGGUCAUUUAUUAUAGGUGCAAAUGGAGUCAUUCCAUUUUCCUCUCUGCAAAAGAAAACAGCCCUGAAGGGACCAACAACAAGCUACUCUUUAAGGACCACAUUACUUUAUCCAGUGCCAAGAACAUUGCCUCUGGAAAUUAGAUACAAGUGAAAAAAUGAAAAUGUACCAGCCCCUCCUCCCCUCCUUAACAUAAAUGACCAAUCCCUAAUUUUGGAAAGGUGUCAAGCUGAUGACUUCAAUGCCUACAGUGAGCAGAAGUGACACUACCAGAUUCAAAAUCAUUCAGUUAUCCAAAGUGAUCAACAAUUUUUGUAAUGUCUCUCUGUUAUACUGACACUAAAAAUAUAAUGAGUCAUUGUUGGUUUUUAACACUAAACAAGACUUUCUUUAGAGAUGAAAAAAAAGUUUGUUGUGUCUUUUUUCAUCAUAGAGAGGAAACUUGCAUAUGGGCAAGGUUUAACUUAACUCCAAUUCCAUAUAGUUUUAGAACACAAUGUGAUAAUAAAUGCUCAGGCUCAAUGUGUAAUGACAAUAACGAUUCAAUUGGGAAGAUUAUGAAAAUUUUAGUAUCUCUAUACCACUGCUUCACAAAGUUUAGUGUUAAGAUACAACAAAUCUCUUCUCAUCUCCUGAUUUCAAAUAUUGAAAAAGAAUAUGUUAAUUAGGGUUGUAGGUAUCGUUGUUUAAAGACUAACAUAUACUGAAGUAUUCCAGUACCAUUCUCCCUACAAUAUAUUGAUUAAGAGAUAUCCAGGAUCUUAAUUACACUAUGGGAUUUCCUGGAGCACAAUGAGCUGUUUCUCUAAGUGGAUUUACAAACUUUGCAUGACAUUUUAAAUGGUACUUUUCAUGUCAGUCAAUUUUCACAACCACAUUUCUAUUUUUUCCCUCACUAGUCUAAUUUCCUGGUUCAAUAAGUGGACGUAACCUUAUAAUACAGUAAUAAAUCGCCCUAUAUCUAAAGGACUUCAGUACAUUCCGUGUGAUUAUCUCUUGACAAUGGCCAAAAUAAAAAGCUGCGAACAAGUUA
rnacentral:lncRNA from 1 species